rnacentral:lncRNA from 1 species
GAUUGGUAGCAGGUUCAUCUUUGGUCCGCGGUGGGGAAUCUAAUGGAGAUGAGGAAUGCCAUACGGAGGACAAGCUGGUUUUAGCGCAGCUGUGGCACAGACUACAGAGCGCAUGAGAAAAAAUGAUGGGGCCACCAACAGUGUGGAAGGGAAGGAGCACUAAAGUGAGCAGGAGCAUGGACACAUGAAGGCUCCAACGAGAUUCUUAAAUUCUGUGUGUCUGGCAAACGCUAGCAGUGAAGAGAUGUUAAGGUCAUGUAUCUUCUCCUUGAAGAAAAGCAACAUCCUCGGAUCUCAAUAAACAACAAAUCCUUCGUUUGGUUCAAUAGAUCCUAGAAAAGUUAACUCAAGAUGCUGACUAAAAGAUGUUCCCUGACCCAGACUGGCAACUUGACAAGCCUUUGGCACAGGUGUGGACAUGUUUGGAGCAAAUAAGGCUGGAGGACAAGUAUGCGCUAUCUUUUGCUCUCUGGGAGACCAGAAUGUGGCUAUCAUGGAGCCCUUCGAUUUUAACAGAGAUCCUUU